rnacentral:rRNA from 1 species
GGGUUGUGAGGUUAAGCGACUAAGCGUACACGGUGGAUGCCCUGGCAGUCAGAGGCGAUGAAGGACGUGCUAAUCUGCGAUAAGCGCCGGUAAGGUGAUAUGAACCGUUAUAACCGGCGAUUUCCGAAUGGGGAAACCCAGUGUGAUUCGUCACACUAUCAUUAACUGAAUCCAUAGGUUAAUGAGGCGAACCGGGGGAACUGAAACAUCUAAGUACCCCGAGGAAAAGAAAUCAACCGAGAUUCCCCCAGUAGCGGCGAGCGAACGGGGAGGAGCCCAGAGCCUGAAUCAGCAUGUGUGUUAGUGGAAGCGUCUGGAAAGGCGCGCGAUACAGGGUGACAGCCCCGUACACAAAAGCGCAUGUGCUGUGAGCUCGAUGAGUAGGGCGGGACACGUGGUAUCCUGUCUGAAUAUGGGGGGACCAUCCUCCAAGGCUAAAUACUCCUGACUGACCGAUAGUGAACCAGUACCGUGAGGGAAAGGCGAAAAGAACCCCGGCGAGGGGAGUGAAAAAGAACCUGAAACCGUGUACGUACAAGCAGUGGGAGCCCCACCACCAAAGCAUUCUCUGGUGUUGAAGGCCCUGCAAAGCAGCAUCGCGGUGGCGGAGCGUCGUUUGCGACGCCCAACACACAAAACAAGCGGUGAAUGCUUUGGGGUGGGGUGACUGCGUACCUUUUGUAUAAUGGGUCAGCGACUUAUAUUCUGUAGCAAGGUUAACCGAAUA